UAGGGAAUCUUCGGCAAUGGACGAAAGUCUGACCGAGCAACGCCGCGUGAGUGAAGAAGGUUUUCGGAUCGUAAAACUCUGUUGUUAGAGAAGAACAAGGGUGAGAGUAACUGUUCACCCCUUGACGGUAUCUAACCAGAAAGCCACGGCUAACUACGUGC
rnacentral:rRNA from 1 species